UCUACUCACUAUGAUAGCACUAAGCUACUAAAGUAGUUUACUCCUAAGAUACAUGACAUUUAAGUGAAGGAAUAGGGGGGUAUUUAUAGUGGGAGAUGGAGUAGGGGCUACUCCGGUGCCAUGUCAGCGAUCCGCGUCAUCUUCAUCAUGCACCAUUGGAUCAAACCGACUUCACAACCGCCAUCUGAUCAACGGUAGAGGCAAACUAACAUGUGCAACAUGUGGGCAAGGUCGGUGGGAGGCCAACCGACCCUGAAACCGCCAUGAAGUGGGGUCGGCCGACCCCCUAUCUUGCUAGUUGGGCCCACCUGCAGUGUCCUGGAGGCUCUCUGAUGUCGGUGGAGUUGAGCUGACCUAUGGGACCCACCAAAGUGGGGUCGCCCGACCCCAAUUCUAUGGGGUUAGGGUGUCAGCCCUGUCCUACAUGUCUUCCUCUUCAUGACUAUAAUGUUGUCUUGGUUACUGGUGUCACUGAUCUUUAGUUAUUCACCCCUUCUUAGUGUUUGGACCCUUGAAAAGUACCUGUUCUUACUCCUGCAACCAAAUAGUAGCAUGUACAUGUGGAACUAGGUUAUAUGUACCUAUAUUACUACUUUGUUUGGUUGUUUUCUCCCAAAAUGAGUCUUAUGUUGACGGUUAUGAUAGUAGAAAACAUGGUAUAAAUACCGUCAACAAGACCCCCCACACUUGAGUCUUUGCUCGUCCUCGAGUAAAGGUUAAAAAUGAGUGAUCAAUGGUUUCUAACUUAAGAUAGUAGUGAGCAUAAAAUGCUAGUUCGAACAUAGUUCAUCCAAAUGGGUUUUUGUGUAAGUGUCUAGCAUAUAUUCUUCAGAGGUUGAGAAAAGGAACAACUCUCAGAACAAGAUCAAAUUCCAAUUUCAUAUUCUUGGUACUUAGAGUUUUUAUGACACUUUUUAAAAUAAGUCACAUAGUUCAAUCCUACUCCUCAUUUAGCGCUCUAGAUCACUCAAAGUUUUUUAGUAGUCCUCACCAAGGCAUGAAUGCCAACUUGUUUCAUCCUAUAAUUAUAGGCUUAUAUGGGGCUUGGUAGGGAUAAACAAGGUAGCAUACUCUACUUUGCAAAUAUUGUUAAGUCAAAAACAAGGAUCCAAUGAGAGGAGUGUCAUAGUCAUAGAUCAAGAUGUGCAAGUGUGUUAUAUGGUGGACUAGGUUGCUCCUUUAUUUACUACACUCUAUCUACUUGUAUAUUGAGACAUGGCUAGAUUUUCUUUUUCUUCGAGCUUUAUGUGCUCAAUUUUUUUUUCAUGGACUUGCACAUGUCCAUCUUUUCUUUUUCUUUUAUUUUGCCAAGCCCUUUUAUGUCUCAUUUUCUAAACAAUAUUUAGAGAGGUGUUCUAACACUUAGAGUAUGGAGCAACCUAUUUAGUGGAUGCACAAUACAUGUGGUUGCGUACUUCCAGUGUAGAAGCAGCAUAUAUAUAUGUGGUGUGUACGUGAUCUUGAUCUUGUGACUAUGAUACAACUCUCACUAGGGUCAACAAGGUUUUGACAAAACUCAUUACAAAAGCAGGUUGCAUUUCAUAAAAUGGUUACUUGAAUAUCUAAGUGUAUGGCUUUUAGUGGGAAUUUCUUGCUAAUGAGGAGUAAAUGAUACUAUGGUUUUGUG
rnacentral:lncRNA from 1 species